GAGCAAAUUUUCUAUGAUAUUCUUUCCUUAAUGAAGAUCUAAUGGAUUGGUGCACAUUGACAAAUCUAUCAUAAUUGCCCUAGUAUUUUUAUUGAGCUUGGGAUGCUUUGUUUACAUCAUAGUGUUCUAUUCUUAUAUAUAUUUUACUGUGCUAAGAAACUCAUCAGGACAGAGUAGAUCAAAAGCCUUCUUCACCUUCCUGCCUCAUCUCUCUGUCAUGACCUGGCAGUACACCCUAUUUGAUGCCAAAGUCAGAUGUCCUAUCACUUUUGAAUCUUUUUUUUAAAUUUAAUUCAUUUUUAAAAUUAGUUUAUUGAGGUCAUUUGGCUUACAACACUGUGUAAAUUUCAGGUAUACAUUACUAUAUAUGUUUCUGUAUAGACUGUUUUGAAUUCACCACCAACAGUCUAGUUUUUAUCUGUUAUGAUACAUGCAAGCCCUUUCAUGCCCCUUUCACUCUUCCGCCUACCCUCUUCCCUCUGGUAACCACUAAUCUGUUCUCCUCAUCCACAUGUUUGUUCAUCUUCCACAUAUGAAUGAAAUCAUGUGGUGUUUGUUAUCUGUCCCCUACACAGUGGUGAUUCCACCUCUGAAUCCUAUGUUCUACAGCUUGGGAAAUACAGGCAUCAAAGAUGAUCUAAGAAAGCAUUCUGACUGUCAGAAGGAGGAACUAAUCUAUAGAAGUGAUUCCAACCGUGGACAAUACAUAAUCAUGUAGUUACAAAGAAAGAAUAUUCUGCAACCAUGCAUUUGAGCACUCAUAAAAGGUCUGAGGUACACUUCAACAGGUAAGUAAAAACUUUAUAAUCUUCUCUUUUAAUCGAUGUUCUGAUGUUCUUUGCUCUCAUUUCUUUUUUUUUUCUAUUUUCCCCAUCACUCUGAUUUUCUCCUGUUCUUUCUCCUCUGCUUUUCACUAAUUGAUAACUUUAUGCAGAAACAGGAAUUGACUGAAGGUAUGUCUUCACUUGAGUGUUUAGUUUUUGCCUUACAUUGCCAGUGCCCUCAAGACACCACCAAUUGCUCAUAUUGAAACCAACUAUUUAUUGGACCACAGGAAAAGCUCUUUCAAGUAAUACACUUUACCUCACCAUUAUUUUCCCUUUCUCA
rnacentral:lncRNA from 1 species